ensembl:lncRNA
AUGCUGAAGUUCACAGAAAAUGCCGCAAAUCAAGAGGAAAUUCCAAAGAACAGUUACAUGACUGUGGCUGCUGUAUUUGUGGUAGUAGGCUCUCUUGCCAUUGAACUGCUGCUUCUCAAGCGGUUUCAAGCCAGAAGAUUCAGACAACAUGAACCCUUGAUACAAGAGGCCUCUGUUGUGCCAGAAGGUAUGUUUGAGUAUGUUAUUUGUCUACCUAAUGGAAGAGGGAUUCCUGUCCAAACUAUCAAAGUGUAUCAAAUGUAUAGUAAAAUGCACUUUAUAAAAUGUGUACAGCUCCACCAACCACCAGGAUGCCCAACACAAGAACAUUACAGGCAUUCCCGUGGUUGGCAGGCUGCGUCACAUCCGGCCCUGAUUGGGAGUCCCAUAGGGCGAUGCCCUAUGGGGGUUUGGCUGGGGUAGGCUGUCAUUGUAAAUAAGAAUUUGUUCUUAACUGACUUGCAUUUAUUUAUUUUUUUACAUUUUUUGUCAUUUAGCAGACACUCUUAUCCAGAGCAACUUACAGUAGUGAAUGCAUACAUUUCAUUUCUAAACAUUUUUCCUGUGCUGGCCCCCCGUGGGAAUCAAACCCACAACCCUGGCAUUACAAACACCAUGCUCUACCAACUGAGCUACAGGGAAGGCUAAGUUAAAUAAAAAAAAUAAGUGUUGGUAUUCCUGUUGUCCCCUAUGGAACCAGAGCCUGAGGAUACAGCAGUCCCAGCAGAGCACGACUCCAGCACCAGGACAGGACUGUUUCAAUAGCGACAGAUGUAUUAUCAGGAGUGUUAUGGGCUCUCUUCCCUGUCGGUGUCAUGUCUGCUCUGUCUCUCACGUCACACAGCUAACUGAAUGUGAAUGCUUUGCCUGGAGGAGGGAGCAAUCUGGUUCAACACUAUUCUUAUCCCCCUCUGCAGGAGAAAUGGAGUGCAUGCAUUAUCCUGCUACCAAGCUAAUUGUUAACAGCAUUGUCUGUAGUUGUUAAUCACACCAGACUGUUCUUUCAUAAUUGUUUUAUAUAUUGUAACUAAAACCUUAAAUGAGUCUAUCGAAUGCACAUAUUUAGUGGACAUUGAUUUGACAGUGAAGACACUAGUGUGAUACAGUAGCAGUGAGAGAGAAUAAAGUAGACGGCAUCGGUCAAAAUCGUGAUUUAUGACACUAUGUCAGGAAGACGCGUCCGUGCCCAAAUAAGGGCAUCCGGUCAGGACAUCCUGGUGGGAAGGUGUCACGUGGUUAGGGCCAUAUAGUUGCAUCCUGUUCUGUCACGUGUUAGAGUGUGUGUUAUUUUAUAUCUAUAUUGCAUCUAUUCCUUUGACGUUGUCAUGAUGAUUGAUGUGCAGGGACCUCGUUGAACUGGGGGGGUUGUGUUUGAACAUUUCAUAGAGGAUGACCCCACACCCCACCUAUUUUAUUGCUCUUAGGGUUGUUGUCUAUAAAGUAGGAAUGUCCGGGGGGAUUGUGUUGGCGGCAGACGCCUUAUAAAUAAAACCCAGAACAACACAUGCGGCCCCAGAACACUAAACAAGAUUUUAAAAAUAAAACCCUGAACAUUAAACAGAAAAAUAUGUCUCCUAGGCCAAUUCUCAGGGGUACUAUAAGCCUCUUGUCGCGAGCCCAAUGAUAAAAGCAUCGAGGACCUAUUGGGUGAGGCACCGGAAUGUUUUAAAGGAGCUUUGGAUACGAGUGAUGGCCAUAUGACUUACAUAUUCCAACCUGAGGAUUCAACUGUGAAGAUUUUCACAGACAGCGGCCCCAGCCCCCUUUAUCAUGCAAAACCCGGGAGUUUUUCUCCUGUGCUGCGUAUGAGAGAAUGGCUUAAGAUACGGCUAGCACUCUAUAAAAUUGAACAGGCCCUGAGUGGUACCUUUGCUGUUCUUCGCCAGAAUGCACUCCCAGGACUUGUACUUCAAUACCCAAUGCUGUUUUGGGUCCAAAUAAUCCAUAGUUAUAUCCAAAUAGCGGCGUUUUGUUGUGCGCUCAAGACACUAUCCGAAGGGUGACGAAGGGUUACGCGCCCGACGCGUUUCGUGACAAAAAAAAUCUAAAUAUUCCAUUACCGUACUUCGAAGCAUGUCACCCGCUGUUUAAAAUACAUUUUUAUGCGAUUUUUCUCGUAAAAAAGCGAUAAUAUUCCGACCGGGAGUCGUUGUUUUCGUUCAAAGACGAAAUAAUAAAAACAUGGUGUCGCCUCGUGCACGCGCCUCAGUCUCAUUGUCCUCAGAUCGACCACUAUCCAAAUGCGCUACUUUUUUUCAGCCUGGGCCUGCAAAGGCAUCAUUCAGCGUUUUGCCGCCUUCUGAGAGCCUAUGGGAGCCGCAGGAAGUGUCACGUUACAGCAGAGAUCCUCAGUUUUCAAUAAAGAGAGUGUAGAAGGCCAAGAAAUGGUCAGAGAGCGCACUUCCUGUAAGGAAUCUUCUCAGGUUUUGGCCUGCCAAAUGAGUUAUGUUAUACUCACAGACACCAUUCAAACAGUUUUAGACACUUUGGAGUAUUUUCUAUCCAAAGCUAAUAAUUAUAUGCAUAUUCUAGUUUCUGGGCAGGAGUAAUAAUCAGAUUAAAUCGGAUACGUUUUUUAUCCGGACGUGAAAAUACUGCCCCCUAUCCAUAACAGGUUAAGGGGUGGUCGAGGGAGUGCUCAGGCAGGUGUAUAGGAGUUUCCAUCGGUGCGACCACGGUGGAAAGUCCAGACCAAGUCUCCACCGUGCACAUUCCCUCUGAAUAUGCCGAUUUGGCUAUCGCCUUCAGGAAAACAAAUGCAACUCAAUUACCCCCUCAUCGAUGAGGGGAUUGUGCGAUAAACCUCCAGGCUGACGCGGCCCUUCCUAAGAGUCACGUGUAUCCUCUGUCUCAGGAGGAGACAGUGGCUAUGGAGACAUACGUCACUGAGUCUUUGAGAUAGGGAUACAUUCGGCCAUCUAAGUCACCCGUCUCCUCAAGCUUCUUUUUUGUGAAGAAGAAGGAGGGAGGUCUGCGCCCGUGCAUUGACUAUAGAGGUCUAAAUUCUAUCAUGGUGGGUUUCAGUUACCCGCUACCUCUCAUUGCUACGGCAGUGGAGUCAUUUCACGGGGCGCGCUUCUUCACCAAACUAGAUCUCAGGAGCGCGUAUAUAACCUGGUGCGUAUCUGAGAUGGAGACGAGUGGAAAACCGCAUUUAGUACCACAUCUGGCCAUUAUGAGUACCUCGUCAUGCCGUAUGGGUUAACCUCUCUAGGGCAGGUGGCACCAAAUCGUCCCACAGCCAGUUGAAUCCUGUGGCGCGAUUUUCAAAUACCUUAGAAAUGCUAUUACUUCAAUUUCUCAAACAUAUGACUAUUUUACAGCUAUUUAAAGACAAGACUCUUGUUAAUCUAACCACACUGUCCGAUUUCAAAAAGGCUUUACAACGAAAGCAAAACAUUAGAUUAUGUCAGCAGAGUACCCAGCCAGAAAUAAUCACACACCCAUUUUUCAAGCUAGCAUAUAAUGUCACAAAAACCCAGAAGACAGCUAAAUGCAGCACUAACCUUUGAUGAUCUUCAUCAGAUGACACACCUAGGACAUUAUGUUAUACAAUACAUGCAUGUUUUGUUCAAUCAAGUUCAUAUUUAUAUCAAAAACCAGCUUUUUACAUUAGCAUGUGACGUUCAGAACUAGCAUAACCCCCGCAAACUUCCGGUGAAUUUACUAACAAUUUACUAAAUUACUCACGAUAAACGUUCACAAAAAGCAUAACAAUUAUUUUAAGAAUUAUAGAUACAGAACUCCUCUAUGCACUCGAUAUGUCCGAUUGUAAAAUAGCUUUUCGGUGAAAGCACAUUUUGCAAUAUUCUAAGUAGAUAGCCCGGCAUCACAGGGCUAGCUAUUUAGACACCCAGCAAGUUUAGCCUUCACCAAACUCCGAUUUACUAUUAGAAAAGUUUGAUUACCUUUCCUGUUCUUCGUCAGAAUGCACUCCCAGGACUUCUACUUCAAUAACAAAUGUUGGUUUGGUCCAAAAUAAUCCAUAGUUAUGUUCCAACAGCGGCGUUUUGUUCGUGCGUUCAAGACACUAUCCGAAUGGUAAAUAAGGGUCACGCGCACGGCGCAUUUCGUGACAAAAGAUUUCAAAAUAUUUCAUUACCGUACUUCGAAGCAUGUCAACCGCUGUUUAAAAUACAUUUUUAUGCCAUUUUUCUCGUAAAAAAGCGAUAAUAUUCCGACCAGGAAUCUGCAAUUAGGUAAACAGCCGAAAGAAAAUACAGCAUGGGGUCGACUUGGGCACGCGCCUUAUUCCUUUGUCCUCUGAUCGGCCACUUGGCAAAGGCGAUAGUGUGUUUCAGCCUGGGGCUGCCUCGAUAUCAUUCAGCUUUUUCCCGGGCUCUGAGAGCCUAUGGGAGCCGUAGGAAGUGUCACGUUACAGCUAAGAUCCUCACUCUUCAAUAAACAGAGACAAGAAGAACGACACCUUGUCAGACAGGCCACUUCCUGCAUGAAAUAUUCUCAGGUUUUUGCCUGCCAUAUGAGUUCUGUUAUACUCACAGACACCAUUCAAACAGUUUUAGAAACUUUAGGGUGUUUUCUAUCCAAAGCCAAUAAUUAUAUGCAUAUUCUAGUUACUGGACAGGAGUAGUAACCAGAUUAAAUCGGGUACGUUUUUUAUCCGGCCGUGUAAAUACUGCCCCCUAGCCCUAACAGGUUAAAAAAUGCUCCCGCUGUCUUCCAAUCCUUUG